AUCACGCGCCGCCCCUCUCAUCCAAUACAGAACCGCUGCAGCAAGGGUCCUCUCCUCUUCCAUCACCAUUACGCAACCGCAAGCAUCUCCUCCCUCUCCUGCAUUCCAAAUCCAUGGCAUCCAUCUCCUCCUUCUCGCCACCGCAACUUUUCUCGUCUCCUCUUCCACAUCCACAUCCACCCCCCUCUCGAUGGAGCAACAAAUCGAGCAGAUCGGCGGCGGCGACCAGCGCAAGAUGGCCAGGUUGACCAAGAUCCUUUCUUGGUUUGACAACACACGGAAAAUGUGCUGAAUAGCGAUGGCCACUAUGAAGGAAAUGACGAAGAAAGAAAAGAACAAGCUUUGCCUCCCGUCCGCACAACCGGUCAACAAGAUCGAGAUCCUCCUCUGGGCGAUGGAGCACGCCGAUUCGCCUAACCCGUGGGUCAGGAGGAGGUGGUGGGCGUUCAGAUCUAGGGUAGAGCAUCCACUGGAUCAGGAAGCCACAAUCCACGAGGUGCCAUUGCAGAUUGUGCAGCCUCCAACAGAGUCACCGGAGAGUUUGAAGUGCAAGAGGAGGAGGACAGUGGUCGCAACCUCGCUUGCCCGCCGUUCUCGACGCUUCCCUUGCUGCUUCCCUUGUCUGAACGGUGGCGGUAUCGUUGUUUAGAGAAAAAAUUGGAGUUCAUAAGGGUGGAGACCUAGAGUUGUGAGUCUAGGAGGCUGAUGGAACUGCUGCUGGCUGAUCCUUCUUCCAGCUUUUGUUCCUCCUUUUGUCUCUACUCAUUGGAUUGGCUACAUCCCUAUGUGCUUUUAAUGUAUUAAGUUGAUCCUUUGAAUUUGUAGUAUUAGGUUCAGUGUGGAAGUACCUUAAUCUCUACGAAAGAGAUGUUGGUUCUAUGACUGAUAAUUUCUAGGUGGAUGCUUAAAUUCAAUAUUUAGGGAUUUUUUAAAA